rnacentral:rRNA from 1 species
GUGCCAGCAGCAGCGGUAAUACCGGCAGCUCGAGUGGUCGUCGCUUUUAUUGGGCCUAAAACGUCCGUAGCCUGUUUGGUAAAUCUGUGGGUAAAUCAACCAGCUUAACUGGUUGAAUUCUGCAGAGACUGCCAGACUAGGGACCGGGAGAGGUGUGGGGUACUCUCGGGGUAGGGGUAAAAUCCUGUCAUCCUGGGAGGACCACCAGUUGCGAAGGCGCCACACUGGAACGGAUCCGACGGUCAGGGACGAAGCCUAGGGGCACGAACCGGAUUAGAUACCCGGGUAGUCCUAGGAGUAAACGCUGUGAACUUGGUGUCGGGGAUCCUACUUGGGUUCCCGGUGCCGGAGUGAAGAUGUUAAGUUCACUGCCUGGGGAGUACGGUCGCAAGGCUGAGACUUAAAGGAAUUGGCGGGGGAGCACUGCAACGGGAGGAGCGUGCGGUUUAAUUGGAUUCAACGCCGGAAAACUCACCAAGGCCGACUGUUAGAUGAAGACCAGCGUAAUGAGCUUGUCGGAUUUUCAGAGAGGUGGUGCAUGGCCGUCGUCAGUUCGUACUGCAAAGCGUUCUGUUAAGUCAGAUAACGAACGAGACCCGCAUCCCUAUUUGCCACCCUGUUCUCCGGAGCAGGCGCACCAUAGGGAGACCGCUGGUGUUAAACCAGAGGAAGGGGAGGGCAACGGUAGGUCAGUAUGCUCCGAAUGCUAUGGGCUACACGCGCAAUACAAAGGACAGGACAAUGGGCUGCUGCUCCGAAAGGAAUGAUAGCUAUCCCGAAACCUGUUCGUAGUUCGGAUUGAGGGCUGUAACUCGCCCUCAUGAAGCUGGAUUAGGUAGUAAUCGCGUCUCAAAAAGGCGCGGUGAAUAUGCCCCUGCUCCUUGCACUCACCGCCCGUC